rnacentral:lncRNA from 1 species
CUUUCAAUGUUUACACUUUGUGGGUGUGGGCAGAGGCAGAAGGAGCAGAACAGGAAGCAAGAGAACUCCCUGCAAGUGGGGUCAGAAGGGGCUGGAUCCCCACCAAGCCCUGGCCAGCCUUGGUCGCCGAGGUCAAGGUUGGCCUCUGCAGUGGAUUUCAGGCACUGUUCUAGGAGCCAAGUGUGAACUGAGAGGCAGCCAAGAAUGAAGACAGAGCUGGAGCAAAACCAGAAAUGGAACCAGAGCGACAGUCCUGCCGCAAUGAGUUUUCUGUUCCAGAAGAAAGAGUCUCUGAGUUGGUGACAGGGAUCCACCCAAAGGCAGCUAGCUGAACCUUGCUCCCAGAACCUCUGCAGAGCCCAGAUUCUUUCUGGGAGAGAGGAGGAGACACAAACCGUCUUCUCCCAGAAAUUCUGCCCCUGACCCAAGUGCUAGCAAUAUACGCCCAGGCCACGCAGUGGGGUUGAGAAUUUCAGCAAAAUAGAAUUCUAAAAUAUUAGAAUCUUGGAAUCAUCACCUCUUGGAAUCAUUGAAUUUCAUCCACUCCUCCAGGGCAUGGAUCAUUUCUUACUCAGAUUUGCUCCCUUGGCACCUAGCACAGAGUCUGGAAGAAUGGAGCUAAUGAAUUUUUUGGUAACCCUAAAAUAUCCAGGAGCCUCCCAGCCAAAUCUCUGCAGAGUCAUGUUCAAAUAAGAGAGGUCCAGCUUCUAAGGGAAAAUUUUUAAAUAAUUUCUCUUUUUAUCUGUAUUUCUCAAGGAACUGAAAGGAGGCCUGUUAAUAACCCCCAAGUAUUGUUGCCUCUUUGCCCCAGUUUUCUCACACUUGGCGACAGCCUCUGCAAACUACAUCUCCCAGGUUCCUGCACUUGAAGCCUCACAGGUAUUUUUCUCUUCUUCCUUCCUUACACUCAUCCCUAGCCUUUUACACCAUAUUUCAUCUUGGCCUCUCCAGCUAAGUCCUUCUCCCUUUCUCUGGCCAUCUCUCUCUACAUUUUCUCAAGAGUAUAUAUGACAAAAUAUCUGAGGACUGGGAUGGAAACCUCAGAACCAGUCUUGGAUGAGGAAGGGGAAGGUGUUAAGUGCCAAGAAGGAAAAUCAGGGUAGUCAAGGGCAACAUGCCCCAGGAAACACUCGCCUCCACCAGAGUUCAAUGGGCCAUCCUGGGUGGGUUGACAAACAGGUGGCUG